AUUGAACGCUGGCGGCAGGCCUAACACAUGCAAGUCGAGCGGAGCGGCGGACGGGUGAGUAAUGUCUGGGAAACUGCCUGAUGGAGGGGGAUAACUACUGGAAACGGUAGCUAAUACCGCAUACUAUCAGAUGAGCCUAGGUCGGAUUAGCUAGUUGGUGGGGUAAAGGCCUACCAAGGCGACGAUCCGUAACUGGUCUGAGAGGAUGAUCAGUCACACUGGAACUGAGACACGGUCCAGACUCCUACGGGAGGCAGCAGUGGGGAAUAUUGGACAAUGGGCGAAAGCCUGAUGCAGCCAUGCCGCGUGUAUGAAGAAGGCCUUCGGGUUGUAAAGUACUUUAAGUUGGGAGGCGUUACCAACAGAAUAAGCACCGGCUAACUACGUGCCAGCAGCCGCGGUAAUAC
rnacentral:rRNA from 1 species